UCACCAUGUCGCAGGACCGUGUCGC
rnacentral:miRNA from 1 species